UAGAUCGGACACGCCCCUUUGAGCUCCGUGCUGCGGCGAGGCUAAGCUAGUGGGGGAAAAGUUUCAGUGCAUUCCGUUGAUGUAGGCGGCGAGAAAACGGAAACUGAAAACAAUUGCACACUACGUCGUACGAUUGAGACAAGGAAACUUGGAAUGACUUUUCAUAGAGUGAAAGUAGCAGUUCCUCCUGAAGGUCAGAGAUUGCAGCAUCUGAGGGCCUCUUCAAAAGAAGACGUAGUUGAUGAAGGCGUUCUGGAGCAGGACCAGAAAGACCACGACCAAGCAGCCUUGAGAUCUUAGGCAGCGUCUCCCUCAGGUCCCUCUCUAUCUCCCCACACAUCCACCAACCACUGGAACACAUCUCCAAAGUUCUGCCGGGCCAGCUCAGCUUCCCCUCAGAAGAAGUCCUGCCACCUGCCAGAUGAAGGAGCCUUUUGAGAGGCAGCUGGCAUCGUGAUUGGACUGUACUUUGGUCUGUUCCAAUCCAGCUUCAGCUCCAGAGACGGCAGGCGGGACGAGUCAACGGAGGCCGGAUGGACGAAGGCAUGCAGCUGAGUACAAUCCAGAAAACAACA